UACGUAGGGUGCGAGCGUUAAUCGGAAUUACUGGGCGUAAAGCGCACGUAGGCGGCUUUCUAAGUCAGGGGUGAAAUCCUGGAGCUCAACUCCAGAACUGCCUUUGAUACUGGAGAGCUUGAGUCCGGAAGAGGUGAGUGGAACUCCGAGUGUAGAGGUGAAAUUCGUAGAUAUUCGGAAGAACACCAGUGGCGAAGGCGGCUCACUGGUCCGGUACUGACGCUGAUGUGCGAAAGCGUGGGGAGCAAACAGG
rnacentral:rRNA from 1 species